rnacentral:rRNA from 1 species
GAUGAACGCUGGCGGCGUGCUUAACACAUGCAAGUCGAACGAAGCAUUUAAGACAGAUUACUUCGGUUUGAAGUCUUUUAUGACUGAGUGGCGGACGGGUGAGUAACGCGUGGGUAACCUGCCUCAUACGGGGGGAUAGCAGCUGGAAACGGCUGGUAAUACCGCAUAAGCGCACAGUACCACAUGGUACAGUGUGAAAAACUCCGGUGGUAUGAGAUGGACCCGCGUCUGAUUAGCUUGUUGGCGGGGUAACGGCCCACCAAGGCGACGAUCAGUAGCCGACCUGAGAGGGUGACCGGCCACAUUGGGACUGAGACACGGCCCAGACUCCUACGGGAGGCAGCAGUGGGGAAUAUUGCACAAUGGAGGAAACUCUGAUGCAGCGACGCCGCGUGAGUGAAGAAGUAGUUCGCUAUGUAAAGCUCUAUCAGCAGGGAAGAUAGUGACGGUACCUGACUAAGAAGCUCCGGCUAAAUACGUG